rnacentral:rRNA from 1 species
AGUCGAGCGAACUGAUUAGAAGCUUGCUUCUAUGACGUUAGCGGCGGACGGGUGAGUAACACGUGGGCAACCUGCCUGUAAGACUGGGAUAACUUCGGGAAACCGAAGCUAAUACCGGAUAGGAUCUUCUCCUUCAUGGGAGAUGAUUGAAAGAUGGUUUCGGCUAUCACUUACAGAUGGGCCCGCGGUGCAUUAGCUAGUUGGUGAGGUAACGGCUCACCAAGGCAACGAUGCAUAGCCGACCUGAGAGGGUGAUCGGCCACACUGGGACUGAGACACGGCCCAGACUCCUACGGGAGGCAGCAGUAGGGAAUCUUCCGCAAUGGACGAAAGUCUGACGGAGCAACGCCGCGUGAGUGAUGAAGGCUUUCGGGUCGUAAAACUCUGUUGUUAGGGAAGAACAAGUACAAGAGUAACUGCUUGUACCUUGACGGUACCUAACCAGAAAGCCACGGCUAACUACGUGCCAGCAGCCGCGGUAAUACGUAGGUGGCAAGCGUUAUCCGGAAUUAUUGGGCGUAAAGCGCGCGCAGGCGGUUUCUUAAGUCUGAUGUGAAAGCCCACGGCUCAACCGUGGAGGGUCAUUGGAAACUGGGGAACUUGAGUGCAGAAGAGAAAAGCGGAAUUCCACGUGUAGCGGUGAAAUGCGUAGAGAUGUGGAGGAACACCAGUGGCGAAGGCGGCUUUUUGGUCUGUAACUGACGCUGAGGCGCGAAAGCGU